UAAACUUUGCAAGUUUGUUACCAGUUCCA
rnacentral:piRNA from 1 species